AGCUCUGGAUCCUUUGCAGUUGCCCGAGAAAAUCUUUCGCCUUUUACUAAAGAUUUCCGUGCAAAGGAUCAAACUAUGAGUAACACUCAUUUUUUGGAAUCCCCUCGAAAGAGCGGGAU
rnacentral:snRNA from 1 species